rnacentral:rRNA from 1 species
CCUACGGGAGGCAGUAGUGAGGAAUAUUGGUCAAUGGACGAGAGUCUGAACCAGCCAAGUAGCGUGAAGGAUGACUGCCCUAUGGGUUGUAAACUUCUUUUAUAAAGGAAUAAAACGAGGCACGUGUGCCUUUUUGCAUGUACUUUAUGAAUAAGGAUCGGCUAACUCCGUGCCAGCAGCCGCGGUAAUACGGAGGAUCCGAGCGUUAUCCGGAUUUAUUGGGUUUAAAGGGAGCGUAGAUGGGUUGUUAAGUCAGUUGUGAAAGUUUGCGGCUCAACCGUAAAAUUGCAAUUGAUACUGGCAGUCGUGAGUACAGUUGAGGUAGGCGGAAUUCGUGGUGUAGCGGUGAAAUGCUUAGAGAUCACGAAGAACCCCGAUUGCGAAGGCAGCUUACUAAACUGUGACUGACAUUGAUGCUCGAAAGUGUGGGUAUCAAACAGGAUUAGAUACCCUGGUAGUC